UCCACUCUGCUGACACUGAUGGCCCAGUCUCUUGCUUUUAAGAUGUUCUCGAGCACACAUCAUCAGACUCCAGUCCACUGUGCCCCACUAACUGCAAAGGUCACGUGCAGAGUGCCCUUGAGCGGCCUCUUCACAGUCCCACUGGAGGGCAGGGCACCGGCUGCCCUCCUAGACAGAGUGAGGGCUGUGCGGGACCAUCUACCAUCUCUAAAGGAAAUCCCUCGGAGUUCCUCUGGGCUGGAUCUCCAACCCAGUCAAACAGAUCAGAAAGCUUCACUUGUGCAGAGGUUCACAUCAAAGACAGAAAGAUGCUGGGACUGGAGCCAGGAGCCAGGGAUGCUUUAAGGGACUUCACAAGGAUUUUCACCCCUGUGAUUUUACAGAUGUGACUUCUGUUUCGGGGAAAGGUUAAGAAUCUCUCCAAUGCUGUCAGAAAGGAAAAAUUUGUCAUAGCCUGUAUGGACUUCCACUGAUGCACCAGCUCUGGCACCUUCGAUAAUCAGGCA